ACAGUGGACGCGAGCAUCUGUGGCCAAGUUUUUAAGGGCGCACGGUGGAUGCCUUGGUACCAGGAACCGAUGAAGGACGUGGGAGGCCGCGAUAGGCCCCGGGGAGCUGUCAACCGAGCUUUGAUCCGGGGGUGUCCGAAUGGGGAAACCCGGCAGUCGUCAUGGGCUGUCACCCAUACCUGAACACAUAGGGUAUGUGGAGGGAACGCGGGGAAGUGAAACAUCUCAGUACCCGCAGGAAGAGAAAACAACCGUGAUUCCGGGAGUAGUGGCGAGCGAAACCGGAUGAGGCCAAACCGUAGGCGUGUGAUACCCGGCAGGGGUUGCGCUUACGGGGUUGUGGGAUCGUACUUCGAUGGUCUGCCGGCCAUCGGGCGAGUCAGAAAUUGUUGGUGUAGGCGAAGGGCAUGCGAAAGGCCCGGCGUAGAGGGUAAGACCCCCGUAGCCGAAAUGUCAGCAACUUGCUUGUGCGACACCCAAGUAGCACGGGGCCCGAGAAAUCCCGUGUGAAUCUGGCGGGACCACCCGCUAAGCCUAAAUAUUCCCUGGUGACCGAUAGCGGAUAGUACCGUGAGGGAAUGGUGAAAAGUACCGCGGGAGCGGAGUGAAAUAGUACCUGAAACCGUGUGCCUACAAGCCGUGGGAGCGUCGC
rnacentral:rRNA from 1 species